UACGUAGGUGGCAAGCGUUGUCCGGAUUUACUGGGCGUAAAGAGCGCGCAGGCGGUCGUUCAAGUCGCGUGUGAAAGCCCCCGGCUCAACUGGGGAGGGUCACGCGAUACUGAUCGACUCGAAGGCAGGAGAGGGUAGUGGAAUUCCCGGUGUAGUGGUGAAAUGCGUAGAUAUCGGGAAGAACAUCGGUGGCGAAGGCGGCCUGCUGGGCUGUUGCUGACGCUGAGGCGCGACAGCGUGGGGAGCAAACAGG
rnacentral:rRNA from 1 species